rnacentral:rRNA from 1 species
UACGAAGGGGGCUAGCGUUGUUCGGAUUUACUGGGCGUAAAGGGCACGCAGGCGGCCUGACAAGUCAGGGGUGAAAUCCCGGGGCUCAACCCCGGAACUGCCUUUGAAACUGUUAGGCUAGAGACCGAGAGAGGUGAGUGGAAUUCCUAGUGUAGAGGUGAAAUUCGUAGAUAUUAGGAGGAACACCAGUGGCGAAGGCGGCUCACUGGCUCGGUACUGACGCUCAUGUGCGAAAGCGUGGGGAGCAAAC